AUUGAACGCUGGCGGCAUGCUUUACACAUGCAAGUCGAACGGUAACAGGCCGCAAGGUGCUGACGAGUGGCGAACGGGUGAGUAAUGCAUCGGAACGUGCCCAGUCGUGGGGGAUAACGCAGCGAAAGCUGCGCUAAUACCGCAUACGAUCUAUGGAUGAAAGCGGGGACCGUAAGGCCUCGCGCGAUUGGAGCGGCCGGUGUCAGAUUAGGUAGUUGGUGAGGUAAAGGCUCACCAAGCCAACGAUCUGUAGCUGGUCUGAGAGGACGACCAGCCACACUGGGACUGAGACACGGCCCAGACUCCUACGGGAGGCAGCAGUGGGGAAUUUUGGACAAUGGGCGCAAGCCUGAUCCAGCAAUGCCGCAUGCAGGAAGAAGGCCUUCGGGUUGUAAACUGCUUUUGUACGGAACGAAACGGUCCGGGUUAAUACCCUGGGCUAAUGACGGUACCGUAAGAAUAAGCACCGGCUAACUACGUGCCAGCCGCCGCCGUAAUAC
rnacentral:rRNA from 1 species